rnacentral:misc_RNA from 1 species
UCCGGUUUGACACCGGCAGUCUCGCCAGAGUGCUCGGCAUGACCCGCUUGCAACUGACGACAGGGGUUUCGCUCGUUAGGGGACUUAACCCAACACCUCAAGGCACGAGCUGACGACAGCCAUGCAACACCUGUGCAGGUUACACCCGAAGGCAAUCCCUCGGCUUUCACCGAGUUAAUCCCUGCAUGUCAAGCCCUGGUAAGGUUCUUCGCGUUGCUUCGAAUUGAGCAACAUCCUCCACCGCUUGUGUGAGCCCCCGUCAAUUCCUUUGAGUUUUAGCCUUGCGGCCGUACUCCCCAGGCGGGGAACUUAAUGCGUUAGCGACGGCGCGGAUUCCGUUGGUUGGAACCCACACCUAGUGCCCAACGUUUACGGCAUGGACUAC